rnacentral:rRNA from 1 species
UGCUUGCACCUGAUUGACGAUGGAUCACCAGUGAGUGGCGGACGGGUGAGUAACACGUAGGUAACCUGCCCCGGAGCGGGGGAUAACAUUUGGAAACAGAUGCUAAUACCGCAUAACAACAAAAGCCACAUGGCUUUUGUUUGAAAGAUGGCUUUAGCUAUCACUCUGGGAUGGACCUGCGGUGCAUUAGCUAGUUGGUAAGGUAACGGCUUACCAAGGCGAUGAUGCAUAGCCGAGUUGAGAGACUGAUCGGCCACAAUGGAACUGAGACACGGUCCAUACUCCUACGGGAGGCAACAGUAGGGAAUCUUCCACAAUGGGCGCAAGCCUGAUGGAGCAACACCGCGUGAGUGAAGAAGGGUUUCGGCUCGUAAAGCUCUGUUGUUGGAGAAGAACGUGCGUGAGAGUAACUGUUCACGCAGUGACGGUAUCCAACCAGAAAGUCACGGCUAACUACGUGCCAGCAGCCGCGGUAAUACGUAGGUGGCAAGCGUUAUCCGGAUUUAUUGGGCGUAAAGCGAGCGCAGGCGGUUGCUUAGGUCUGAUGUGAAAGCCUUCGGCUUAACCGAAGAAGUGCAUCGGAAACCGGGCAACUUGAGUGCAGAGGAGGACAGUGGAACUCCAUGUGUAGCGGUGGAAUGCGUAGAUAUAUGGAAGAACACCAGUGGCGAAGGCGGCUGUCUGGUCUGCAACUGACGCUGAGGCUCGAAAGCAUGGGUAGCGAACAGGAUUAGAUACCCUGGUAGUUCCAUGCCGUAAAC